GGUCAGGAUAGCUCAGUUGGUAGAGCAGAGGACUGAAAAU
rnacentral:tRNA from 9 species